UCUGGUUGAUCCUGCCGGAGGCCACUGCUAUCGGAGUUCGAUUAAGCCAUGCGAGUCGAGAGGUGUAAGACCUCGGCAUACUGCUCAGUAACACGUGGACAACCUACCCUGAGGAGGGGGAUAACCCCGGGAAACUGGGGAUAAUACCCCAUAGACUAUGGAUGCUGGAAUGCUCUGUAGUUGAAAGGUCCGCCGCCUCAGGAUGGGUCUGCGGCCGAUUAGGUUGUUGUUGGGGUAACGGCCCAACAAGCCUGUAAUCGGUACGGGUUGUGGGAGCAAGAGCCCGGAGAUGGAUUCUGAGACACGAAUCCAGGCCCUACGGGGCGCAGCAGGCGCGAAAACUUUACAAUGCGAGCAAUCGUGAUAAGGGAACUCCGAGUGCCCGUAAAAUCGGGCUGUCCGCCAGUGUAAAUAACUGGUGAAGAAAGGGCCGGGCAAGACCGGUGCCAGCCGCCGCGGUAAUACCGGCGGCUCGAGUGGUGGCCACUAUUACUGGGCUUAAAGCGUUCGUAGCUGGUCUGUUAAGUCUCUGGGGAAAUCUUCCGGCUUAACCGGAAGGCGUCUCAGGGAUACUGACAGACUAGGGACCGGAAGAGGUGAGAGGUACUCCAGGGGUAGGAGUGAAAUCCUGUAAUCCUUGGGGGACCACCUGUGGCGAAGGCGUCUCACCAGGACGGCUCCGACAGUGAGGAACGAAAGCUGGGGGAGCAAACCGGAUUAGAUACCCGGGUAGUCCCAGCUGUAAACGAUGCGCGUUAGGUGUAUCGGUGACCACGAGUCACCGAGGUGCCGAAGAGAAAUCGUGAAACGCGCCGCCUGGGAAGUACGGUCGCAAGGCUGAAACUUAAAGGAAUUGGCGGGGGAGCACCACAACGGGUGGAGCCUGCGGUUUAAUCGGACUCAACGCCGGGAAACUCACCGGAUAAGACAGCUGAAUGAUUGCCGGGCUGAAGACUCUGCAUGACUAGCUGAGAGGAGGUGCAUGGCCGUCGUCAGUUCGUACUGUGAAGCAUCCUGUUAAGUCAGGCAACGAGCGAGACCCA
rnacentral:rRNA from 1 species